rnacentral:RNase_MRP_RNA from 2 species
CGACUGCAAGACGACGUGAAUGGGCUUGGGCCCUCUCUUUGAGCGGGUCAGGACCCAGGAAAGUCCCCGGGUCGUUUCUGCAGAGAUGCAGGCUCAGAAACGGGUUAGCUUCAUGGUCUUAGGAGUUCAAUCUUACACUUGUGAGAUGGGCUGAGACGAGGUGGAGCCUAUGGACUCCUACCGGAAGCGUUAUUGGCUGAUGAUUACAUUUAUUCACGUGGUUCAGUCUAUAAACUGGACUAACUGAACGGGGCUUACGUUCUUGCAGUC